rnacentral:rRNA from 1 species
AAAUUGAAGAGUUUGAUCAUGGCUCAGAUUGAACGCUGGCGGCAGGCCUAACACAUGCAAGUCGAGCGGUAGCACAGAGAGCUUGCUCUCGGGUGACGAGCGGCGGACGGGUGAGUAAUGUCUGGGAAACUGCCUGAUGGAGGGGGAUAACUACUGGAAACGGUAGCUAAUACCGCAUAAUGUCGCAAGACCAAAGUGGGGGACCUUCGGGCCUCAUGCCAUCAGAUGUGCCCAGAUGGGAUUAGCUAGUAGGUGGGGUAACGGCUCACCUAGGCGACGAUCCCUAGCUGGUCUGAGAGGAUGACCAGCCACACUGGAACUGAGACACGGUCCAGACUCCUACGGGAGGCAGCAGUGGGGAAUAUUGCACAAUGGGCGCAAGCCUGAUGCAGCCAUGCCGCGUGUGUGAAGAAGGCCUUCGGGUUGUAAAGCACUUUCAGCGGGGAGGAAGGCGUUAAGGUUAAUAACCUCAUCGAUUGACGUUACCCGCAGAAGAAGCACCGGCUAACUCCGUGCCAGCAGCCGCGGUAAUACGGAGGGUGCAAGCGUUAAUCGGAAUUACUGGGCGUAAAGCGCACGCAGGCGGUCUGUCAAGUCGGAUGUGAAAUCCCCGGGCUCAACCUGGGAACUGCAUUCGAAACUGGCAGGCUAGAGUCUUGUAGAGGGGGGUAGAAUUCCAGGUGUAGCGGUGAAAUGCGUAGAGAUCUGGAGGAAUACCGGUGGCGAAGGCGGCCCCCUGGACAAAGACUGACGCUCAGGUGCGAAAGCGUGGGGAGCAAACAGGAUUAGAUACCCUGGUAGUCCACGCCGUAAACGAUGUCGAUUUGGAGGUUGUGCCCUUGAGGCGUGGCUUCCGGAGCUAACGCGUUAAAUCGACCGCCUGGGGAGUACGGCCGCAAGGUUAAAACUCAAAUGAAUUGACGGGGGCCCGCACAAGCGGUGGAGCAUGUGGUUUAAUUCGAUGCAACGCGAAGAACCUUACCUGGUCUUGACAUCCACAGAACUUUCCAGAGAUGGAUUGGUGCCUUCGGGAACUGUGAGACAGGUGCUGCAUGGCUGUCGUCAGCUCGUGUUGUGAAAUGUUGGGUUAAGUCCCGCAACGAGCGCAACCCUUAUCCUUUGUUGCCAGCGGUUAGGCCGGGAACUCAAAGGAGACUGCCAGUGAUAAACUGGAGGAAGGUGGGGAUGACGUCAAGUCAUCAUGGCCCUUACGACCAGGGCUACACACGUGCUACAAUGGCAUAUACAAAGAGAAGCGACCUCGCGAGAGCAAGCGGACCUCAUAAAGUAUGUCGUAGUCCGGAUUGGAGUCUGCAACUCGACUCCAUGAAGUCGGAAUCGCUAGUAAUCGUAGAUCAGAAUGCUACGGUGAAUACGUUCCCGGGCCUUGUACACACCGCCCGUCACACCAUGGGAGUGGGUUGCAAAAGAAGUAGGUAGCUUAACCUUCGGGAGGGCGCUUACCACUUUGUGAUUCAUGACUGGGGUGAAGUCGUAACAAGGUAACCGUAGGGGAACCUGCGGUUGGAUCACCUCCUUACCUUAAAGAA